rnacentral:rRNA from 1 species
AGUGAACGCUGGCGGUAGGCCUAACACAUGCAAGUCGAACGGCAGCACAGUAAGAGCUUGCUCUUACGGGUGGCGAGUGGCGGACGGGUGAGGAAUACAUCGGAAUCUACUUUUUCGGGGGGGAUAACGUAGGGAAACUUACGCUAAUUCCGCAUACGACCUACGGGUGAAAGCAGGGGAUCUUCGGACCUUGCGCGAUUGAAUGAGCCGAUGUCGGAUUAGCUAGUUGGCGGGGUAAAGGCCCACCAAGGCGACGAUCCGUAGCUGGUCUGAGAGGAUGAUCAGCCACACUGGAACUGAGACACGGUCCAGACUCCUACGGGAGGCAGCAGUGGGGAAUAUUGGACAAUGGGCGCAAGCCUGAUCCAGCCAUACCGCGUGGGUGAAGAAGGCCUUCGGGUUGUAAAGCCCUUUUGUUGGGAAAGAAAAGCAGCAGGUUAAUACCCCGCUGUUCUGACGGUACCCAAAGAAUAAGCACCGGCUAACUUCGUG